rnacentral:rRNA from 1 species
CAGUCGCCGCGGGAAUACGAAGGGUGCAAGCGUUAAUCGGAAUUACUGGGCGUAAAGCGUGCGUAGGCGGUUUGUUAAGUCUGUUGUGAAAUCCCCGGGCUCAACCUGGGAAUGGCAAUGGAUACUGGCAAGCUAGAGUGUGUCAGAGGAUGGUGGAAUUCCCGGUGUAGCGGUGAAAUGCGUAGAGAUCGGGAGGAACAUCAGUGGCGAAGGCGGCCAUCUGGGACAACACUGACACUGAGGCACGAAAGCGUGGGGAGCAAACAGGAUUAGAUACCCCCGUAGUCCCUGUCUCUUAUCA